rnacentral:rRNA from 1 species
UGAACCAGUACCGUGAGGGAAAGGUGAAAAGAACCCCGGGAGGGGAGUGAAAGAGAACCUGAAACCCUGUGUCUACAAGCUGCGGAAGAGCGACUAACGCUCGACCGUGUACUUUUUGUAGAACGGUCCGGCGAGUUGCCGUUGCUGGCAGGUUAAGUACUUAAGGUACGGAGCCGAAGGGAAACCAAGUCUUAAUAGGGCGGUAAGUCAGUAACGGCAGACCCGAAACCGGGUGACCUACCCAUGGCCAGGAUGAAGUCUGCGUAAAAGUGGAUGGAGGUCCGAACACACGUCUGUUGAAAAAGGCGGUGAUGAGCUGUGGGUAGCGGAGAAAUUCCAAUCGAACUCGGAGAUAGCUGGUUCUCCCCGAAAUAGCUUUAGGGCUAGCCUCGGUAUAGUCUAAUGGAGGUAGAGCACUGAAUCGCUGCGGGGGCGUCAAAGUCUACCAAUGCGUAUCAAACUCCGAAUGCCAUAUAGAUGUUUACCGGGAGUCAGACUGUAUGAGAUAAGUCGGACAGUCAAAAGGGAAACAGCCCAGACCAUCUGCUAAGGUCCCAAAGUGUAUGUUAAGUGGUAAAGGAUGUGGGGUUUCGAAGACAACUAGGAUGUUGGCUCAGAAGCAGCCAUUCAUUCAAAGAGUGCGUAAUAGCUCACUAGUCGAGAGGUCCUGCGCCGAAAAUGUCCGGGGCUGAAACAUAACACCGAAGCAAUGGAAUAUACCGUAAGGUAUGUUGGUAGGGGAGCAUUGAUAACACGAAGAAGCGGUACCGUAAGGAGCCGUGGAGAGUUAUCAAGAGAGAAUGCCGGAAUGAGUAGCGAGAUGAAGGUGAGAAUCCUUCAGGCCGUAUAUCCAAGGUUUCCAGGGUAAAGCUGAUCUUCCCUGGGGAAGUCGGGACCUAAGCUCAGGCUGAGAAGCGUAGGCGAUGGACAACUGGUUGAUAUUCCAGUACCUCUGGCUAUCAGAAAUGUGGGGACACGGAGAUUCAGGGAGUGCCUGUAAAGGAUUCAGGUGCAAGCAUGGUUUAUGCCGGGCAGGCAAAUCCGUCCGGGUAAGUGAACUGUGUGAUGCGGACCGAAAUAUAAGUAGGGAAGCUCCUGGGAGAGCCGUCGAGAAAAGCCGCUAUUGUGUAGUCAGAGCCCGUACCGUAAACCGACACAGGUGGAUGGGGAGAGUAUCCCAAGGCCGGCGGGAGAAGCAUUGUUAAGGAACUCGGCAAAAUGGCCCCGUAAGUUCGCGAUAAGGGGUGCCUGUAGAGAUACAGGCCGCAGAGAAUAGGCUCAAGCAACUGUUUAGCAAAAACACAGGUCUAUGCGAAACCGUAAGGUGAUGUAUAUGGGCUGACGCCUGCCCGGUGCUGGAAGGUUACGGGGAGUGCUUAGGAGUAAUCCGAAGGUACGAACUUAAGCCCCAGUAAACGGCGGCCGUAACUAUAACGGUCCUAAGGUAGCGAAAUUCCUUGUCGGGUAAGUUCCGACCCGCACGAAAGGCGUAAUGAUUUGAGCGCUGUCUCAACAAUGCACCCGGUGAAAUUGAAGUACCAGUGAAGAUGCUGGUUACCUGCGCCAAGACGGAAAGACCCCAUGGAGCUUUACUCCAUCUUGGUACUGGGAUUAGAUAUAUGAUGUACAGGAUAGGUGGGAGACUAAGAAGCAGGGACGCCAGUUUCUGCGGAGUCAAUGUUGGGAUACCACCCUUCGUGUAUCUGGUUUCUAACCUUUGCCCGUUAUCCGGGCAGGGGACAAUGCCAGGAGGGGAGUUUGACUGGGGCGGUCGCCUCCGAAAGUGUAUCGGAGGCGCUCAAAGGUUCCCUCAGAAUGGUUGGAAACCAUUCGCAGAGUGUAAAGGCAGAAGGGAGCUUGACUGCGACACCGACGGGUGGAGCAGGUACGAAAGUA